UGGGGAAGAUGACAUUGUUGAGGGACCUAUACUUAGGGUUUUUGGAUUUUGAGGUCGAAGCUUGGGUUUGAUCUCAUUUUAACCUAAUUAGUAGGUCAACGAAUGCGUUGGUGUGCUCGGCUCGGCGAUACGACGAGCGUACACGGAGAUAUUGAGAAAACAGGCUAAAUUGGUACAUAUCGUCGCAGCUUGUGGCGUAGAGGUCUAAAAAUCACGAAAACAGGAUCACGGCAUCCUAGCAUACCCACAGGUGGGGGGUGCUAUCCGGAAACACCGAAUUUCCUUCUAUGUCUAUGUUACCAUUAUUGAGCAUACUGAUGUUAGCAUUCAUGCAUAUAGGGUAGUGUGAUGAAUAUGAUUGGUUGAGAUUCAAUUGUAUGCUAGAGAACAUAUGAAUUGAUAUAGAACCAUGUGAACUAAGAAUGUGAAAAACCCUAUGUGUAUGUGAAUGUAUGUAAAAGAGACUAUGACAAUAGUAAACAAUGGUGACAUUGACAUUAGUGACGAGAUUGGCACCGAGAAUGUAAAUGACUAAACAAGGUUUAGCUUAUUGUGGCAUCAGGACCAUUGUGGCUCAGGUAUAGUGGAAACGUGAUAUGGUAAUAACCUAUCAU
rnacentral:lncRNA from 1 species